UUCAGUAUCAUUGAGCACUAACUGAAGACACUCUGAGAGGUGAUUUCCUCAUAGUCUACCCUAUUUUACUUAUGAGGAAAUUAAGCUUCCAACUAAGGGGGCUAGGAUCAAACCCAACACUGAUUUCCACAGUCAACCUUUUCCAAGAGGACAACGUGAUUAUCACCCAUUAUCAUAGCUAGCUCAAUACUGAAGAUAGAGGAGGCGCAUGGCAUCCAUGGAAGCACGAGUUUCUGGUUUUCAUCUGUUUUAGAUGCAGGCAAGUUGGCCCCUCCACUGACUGACCACUGCAACCCCAGGGCACGGGGUUCAGUUAGUGGGCUUCAUGAGAACUUUGCUUUUUCAUUCAGCUACUUUUCCUGAAAGAAGAGUUGAAGACAGGACUACAUGCUCCUUGGAGGCGAACAGUCAGGACUGAGUUUUGGAUCCACACAGGUGAUGAGUUUUGAUGAUACCACAUGUCAACUCAGUGACUGACUGAAGCCAGAUCCCCUGACAUUUGAUGGCAGUGAAGCUUUUUGAAAGGGUUGGCUAUGAAAAAAAAGAGUGGAUGUGGGAUAUGAGAAUAAUGGUGAUGGUUGAAAGUCUAUCUAGGGGGGCCUUUCUGGUGGUGCAAAGAGUUAAGAUGCAACACUAUGAAGCAAUCCGCAGCCACUGCAGCAUGAGUUUGAUCCCUGGCCAGGGAGCUACCCACAUGGUGCAGCAGACCUCUCCUGACUCACCCACUGCUCCCCUCAGCAGUGUGUUUCAGUAGAUCCACCUGUUCUGCUCCCCACUCUGUCUCUGGUGAAUCCUCUCACCCCCUGCACCUCUGAUCUGUACCCCAUCUCUUGUAUGCAUAAAUAAAUAAAUCUUUAAAAAA